UACGAAGGGGGCUAGCGUUGUUCGGAAUUACUGGGCGUAAAGCGUACGUAGGCGGCUUUGUAAGUUAGAGGUGAAAGCCCGGAGCUCAACUCCGGAAUUGCCUUUAAGACUGCAUCGCUUGAAUCGUGGAGAGGUUAGUGGAAUUCCGAGUGUAGAGGUGAAAUUCGUAGAUAUUCGGAAGAACACCAGUGGCGAAGGCGACUAACUGGACACGUAUUGACGCUGAGGUACGAAAGCGUGGGGAGCAAACAGG
rnacentral:rRNA from 1 species